GUGAUGGCAGUGGAGCUCUCCCGAUUUUUCAUCGGGAAGCGGGAACGUACAGCACGACCCGAA
rnacentral:sRNA from 1 species